CAGCCCCUCGAGUGGUGGGGAUGAUUAUUUGGCCUAAAGCGUCCGUAGCCGGCCGAGUAAGUCCCCCGUUAAAUCCAGCGUCUCAAGCGUUGGACUGCGGGAGAUACUACUUGGCUAGAGAGUGGGAGAGGUCAGCGGUAUUCUGGGGGUAGGGGCGAAAUCCUUUGAUCCCCGGAGGACCACCAGUGGCGAAGGCUGCUGACUAGAACACGUCUGACGGUCAGGGACGAAAGCUGGGGUAGCGAACCGGAUUAGAUACCCGCGUAGUCC
rnacentral:rRNA from 1 species